rnacentral:lncRNA from 12 species
UGAAAAACGCUCAGAGGGAAAGAACUGUAAUUUUAAUAGACAAUGACAAUUUCCUGCUGUGGAGUAUUUAUUUUUAUUCCCAAUCAGAGUUCACUGUCUUUUACAAAGUGUGCUGCUUAACUUUUCAAAGUAGCCUUGUUCUUUUAAUACACUGUUUUCAGACUGUUUCUUUAAAUUGCCAUUAUCGUAUUCAAUGCUGAAAACAAAGUGAAGAAAAUUGACAAAUUUGUGCAAUAAAAAUAUAAGCAGAUAUACUGCAAAUAAAACAUGUGCUUGGGAAAUAGAAAUACGUUUUAGAGCUUGAAUACAGCUUAGGGCAAAACCAAUCUAUUUUGGAACUUAAAAUACCCAAGAUACAACUAAUGUAAGAUACAAAUGGAGCAGCCUAUUAAUUCCUGUAAAGUAAAAUGAACUAAAAGACUGACUAGGAGGCCAUAAACUAGUUAUUAAAAAAGCUAAAUGGCAUUCCUGUAAAGUAAAAUGAACUAAAAGACUGACUAGGAGGCCAUAAAUUAGUUAUUAAAAAAGCUAAAUGGCAAAGCACAUAUUUUACUAGAGUUUCUAUCCCAUUGUAGUGCAAACAUUCAUGCUGUGUUAUUUCUGGUACCAAAGCACAGUAAGUACCUGUAUCAAAGCACAUAUUUUACUAGAGUUUCUAUCCCGUUGUAGUGCAAACAUUCAUGCUGUGUUAGUUCUGGUACCAAAGCACAGUAAGUACCUGUACUAUGCAACACAAAUUGCAAAGUUUGGUGCACUGGCUUCCAUUUUUAUUCCAAUAGGGCUCCACAGAGUAAGUGGGAUACAAUAAACAUUUCCUGUGGUAUUGCUGCUCAAAUAGCCUGUUCCCAUCUGCAGUGUUUUGGGAGGAGUUUUCAACCCUGCUCCUCAUCUCUAAUGCAAAAGCACAAAUAAGUCAUUUAAAUGCAUCUUCUCAUUUUUCCCUGACUGCCCAACUGCUCUGUGGACUUGCCUACAGCUUUUGCCUACGCAUGGUUUGCCACCUGUGAGCCAGAAACCUGAGCUUUUGUCCAGCUCCAAAACAGACCUAGAGGGUAGAUGAGCUCCUCCGUGACAGCCAGGUAAACUCUGGCACUUGCACCAAACCCAACCCCACUCAGGGAUCUGUGUCUUUGGGAGGCCUAACAUCUGCUUUGGUUUCCUUCCAAGCUGGAUGUUCAGCAUAAUACAGAAUAAUUGUUUCUGCUUAGGAAGAAGUUUCACCAGGCUGCAGUAACUCAGGAAUUCAUCAUUUUGCUAAUCUGGAAGCUCCUUGGAUAAUUUUACCUGAAACUGACUGCAAGACACACAAGCUUCAGCUGAGGCAGAACACAGCUGCUUGCCUCCUCUGCUGUGCAGGCUUCCCUGAAGACAUCAAAGCCACCAGCAGUCUUCUCCUACCAGUCUCUCUUAAUUUUUGGGACCAGUUCAAGGCCUGGAUCCUGUUUUAACAUGAAACGGAAAAAUCAGAUUUGAUCUGCCUCAAAGCUUGAUCUGUAUCAGCAAACCUUCUGCGAGAAAGAAUUUCUACCCUAGGAGAUACUCACAGAAUAAAUAUCUCCUUGUAGCCCAGUCACAAGGUGAAGAACCAGCUGCUUCUGGAAAAGGCCCCUGCUGUGCCCUGGAAAGGGAAAAUGCCAGCAGACCCAGGGCAUCCCAUGUUUUACAGAUCUGUGCUACAGGCAUGAGAUGCUGUCUCAUCAGUGGCUGGGGCAAUGCAAAAUUCUGUCAUCCCUGCACUUACUCUUGAUUUUCUGCGCCUGCAAAAAGAUGGGCAGGAAUUCCCAUUCUUGAGCUAUACAUAUAUGUCAGGGUAAAUUUACAUUGUUUAAAUGAAAUCAAAGGAACUGCACUGAUUUAUAGGAGCUGAAAAGUCUGCUCCAACAUUUCAUACAUCCAGAAAAGUAUCUUUAUUUUUGAUUUCUCAAGUUUCUGUGUGUGCAGAUUGUAAACACUUUUUUCAUAUCUUCUUUUUAGAAAGAUCAAAAGAUUUUUCACAGUAUUCUGUGCAUUGAAAUAGAAAAAUUACUAUUUCUCUAGAAGCUUCCUUGCAAGAUUGAAGCAAUCUGGUUUAAUUUCCCCAAGUUUAACAGUGUUCUCAACUUCUGAACUGUGUAUGUGUAGACAGAAAUGUUGAAAUUACACUAGUAUCUAUAUUCUUGAAGUCUUACUGCUUUCCUUUUUCAUUGCUGAAUUAAACAGGCUACAAAUCUGGGAUCCUGCACUUAAUUAUUGGAAAGUGGUAUCAGACUUCUUCCAUUUUAACUGCAUUUAAAAUGUCAGUAACUAUUUUAGGUGCAAUAGCCCAAAAGCCUAUCCUAGCUCAUAAACCCAGAUGUAUGAAAACGUGCUUUUGCAUUCCCCUGAAAAGUAAUUUUUACAACUCUGUAUUUGCAAGGAGUUCACAAAACUAGCAAUGCAUUUAUUUUUCAAAUGAAAUGUCCAUAGCCUGUGGAAUAAUUCAAACAGGUGCUAAUUAGGUGUAUAGAAAGGCCACUGAGGACAAUUUAUAUAUCCCCCUGCAAGAGAAAAAAAAGCUGAAUAAAUAUUAAUUGCUUAUAUUAUGCAACUAAUUAUUUUUAAGAUGGCACUAAAUUAACUGCAAAUAUUAUAAUUACGAAGUACUGGGUAAUUUACUAAAGAUUAAUUGAAAUGAUUAAGUGCAAACAGCAUGAUUUUGCAAGGUGGUAUUAACACUUUCUGCAGGCUUCCUGUUGUGCUGUGUGAAGGUAGAAUGGUCACGAACCUGGAGAAGGGAGAGGGACUCAAAAAAUUGCUCUAGUCCAUUGCUGUGCUCCAUUCCUAGGAGUAUUCUCUACGUUAAAUGCAGGAUCUUUUUCUGAAUUUAUUCUCUAUUUAUUACAAACUCUC